CCUACGGGUGUGCAGCAGUGGGGAAUAUUGGACAAUGGGCGAAAGCCUGAUCCAGCCAUGCCGCGUGUGUGAAGAAGGCCUUCGGGUUGUAAAGCACUUUCAGUGGGGAAGAAAGCCUUGGGGCUAAUACCCUCGAGGAAGGACAUCACCCACAGAAGAAGCACCGGCUAACUCCGUGCCAGUAGCCGCGGUAAUACGGAGGGUGCGAGCGUUAAUCGGAAUUACUGGGCGUAAAGCGCGCGUAGGCGGUCUGAUAAGCCGGUUGUGAAAGCCCCGGGCUCAACCUGGGAACGGCAUCCGGAACUGUCAGGCUAGAGUGCAGGAGAGGAAGGUAGAAUUCCCGGUGUAGCGGUGAAAUGCGUAGAGAUCGGGAGGAAUACCAGUGGCGAAGGCGGCCUUCUGGACUGACACUGACGCUGAGGUGCGAAAGCGUGGGUAGCAAACAGGAUUAGAUACCCGUGUAGUC
rnacentral:rRNA from 1 species